AUUGAACGCUGGCGGCAGGCCUAACACAUGCAAGUCGAGCGAGCGGCGGACGGGUGAGUAUUGUCUGGGAAACUGCCUGAUGGAGGGGGAUAACUACUGGCAACGGUAUCUAAUACCGCAUACCCUCAGAUGUGCCCAGAUGGGAUUAGCUAGUAGGUGGGGUAACGGCUCACCUAGGCGACGGUCCCUAGCUGGUCUGAGAGGAUGAUCAGCCACACUGGAACUGAGACACGGUCCAGACUCCUACGGGAGGCAGCAGUGGGGAAUAUUGCACAAUGGGCGCAAGCCUGAUGCAGCCAUGCCGCGUGUGUGAAGAAGGCCUUCGGGUUGUAAAGCACUUUCAGCGGGGAGGCGUUACCCGCAGAAGAAGCACCGGCUAACUCCGUGCCAGCAGCCGCGGUAAUUC
rnacentral:rRNA from 1 species